GAGUGUGCUGCUCUAUAUGUCUUUCUCCCUCUGUUUAUGUGCGUCUCUAUCUUUCUCUGUCUUUGUCUAUGCUUUCGUAGCUCACCAAAGCUCCGCGUCUCAGUCGCCUCCAACACAUCUUCCUCCUUCUCGGUUCAAGCUCCUCUGCCACUGGGUUCCUCGUCUCAGCCUCCAGUUCUACCUAGACAUUGUGUUUCCCUAUCAGUUUCUCAAGCCUGCCGACCUCAAUUGACUGAUGUCCAUGAGCUCAGCUUGUCUUCCUCCUCAAUUAGCAUAGCAGCGGCUCGACAUUAGCUCCUCCAUGAGCUCUCUUGGCGUCGUCUACAUGUUAGUCACCCUCAUUUGCCUCCUCCUCUCUACUUCCACAAGUUCGAUGCCUACUUGAGGAUCAACCUAGGCCUCGCGCUCUUCGUGAUAGCCCUUCUUGUCAUCCCCAUCAUGGAAACUGUGUACUUAAAGGGUUGUUCAGGAUGCUUUAGGUGGUCUGUUGCUUCACUAAUUUUUCUUCAAAUUUUCAAAUUGCUAUAUUUUAUGGCUUUAGGUGGUCUGUUGCUUCAUAAUUUUUCUUCAAAUUUUCAAAUUACUAUAUUUUCUGAAUUUAGGGUUUGCUGUUGUAGCUUCAAUUUCAACCUUUUUCUACAAUAGGACUAUUAUUUGGUAAAAACUUUUCUGGUGAAUUUAGUGAAGUGCGUCGACAACAUUUUUCGAGACUGGGUUCUUGGGGAUAAUUGGAUCAGUUCAUAAGUCAUGUCGAUGUACCUUUAGCAAUCUGUGUACUGCAGUUUCAGAUUAUGAUAUAAUUUAUCACCCAAUUUCGAGCUUGAAUGGAGCUAUGAACUCUAACUUGAUCGCUUGAGGCGAGGUUUCACUGACUUUGGUGUUUUUAGACCUUUGUGUGCAAUCUCAGCCGGAUAACAAGGUCGAGACAGUAGAAUACUUGGAGAAGAAGAAGAAGGAAGAGAAGGGAAUCAAAUAAGUGAAUGUCCCACGCUGUUUCAUGGCCAAGGCUCACAUUUCCAUUUCUAAUUUCAUCCACGGUUGAUUCAUUUAAUUAUGCACUCCAUUGACUGGCUUAAUCUCCUGUAUCCUGCAAAGAGUUAAUUCAAGAUUUCUCCGGAGCCUCUUAAAUUCUAAUUUAUUGUUGAUGGGGAGUUGUGGUAAUUCUUAAAUGCAUGUUCUUGAGAAUUUAUCUAUAGAGAAGAGAAGAGGAAGAACAACCAUUGAAGGAGAACUUGUGCUAGUUUCAAAGUUUCUGAGACAAGGGACAAGAACGGCGUGAAGAAGAAAAUUCGAAAAGAAAAAGAACUACCUGAAGAAGCAAUUCAAGCUGAAGUCGCUGCAUAACAAGUGUAAAUUUGUUUCAUAUGUAUUUGGCUUUGUCGGGUCUUGUGAGUAUAGGAUUCCUAAAUUAUUAUGCAAUGACUUUGAGCAUAAUUAUUCAGGUUCCCAAUUUGAUUUAUGUGUAAUUAUACUUUUCCAUAUUGCAAUUUAGGUGACUACU